rnacentral:lncRNA from 1 species
AUAGAUUAGUACGUGAUUAAUUAAUUUAUUAAGUACAAAAAUAUAAUAAUAUAAUAAUAUAAUUUUUAAACAACUGUUCUAUAGAAAAUUGUUACGAAAAAUGCAUCGUUUAGCAGUUCGGAAAGGAUGCGUGUGGAAAACGAGAAAAUCUAGGGUGAAUAAGGAAGCAGCCGAACACGACCGUAGACUCCAGAUAUCUAUCCAUCCCACCUGGCACAUGAAUUUCACACUACCCAACUAGCCUUGGCAUAACCCUAACUAACGUCUCCUCAUUUUACUACCAAAAAGCUACUGGACGUACCUUCCAGACCUACAAUGGAACCCAUUGAUCUAGUUCUCAUAACUUU